UACGUAGGGGGCUAGCGUUGUCCGGAAUCAUUGGGCGUAAAGCGCGUGUAGGCGGCCCGGUAAGUCCGCUGUGAAAGUCGGGGGCUCAACCCUCGGAUGCCGGUGGAUACUGUCGGGCUAGAGUACGGAAGAGGCGAGUGGAAUUCCUGGUGUAGCGGUGAAAUGCGCAGAUAUCAGGAGGUACACCAAUUGCGAAGGCAGCUCGCUGGGACGUCACUGACGCUGAGACGCGAAAGCGUGGGGAGCAAACAGG
rnacentral:rRNA from 1 species